GGGUUGCUAACUCAAUGGCCGACUAGUUCCGGGUUCGAAUCCCGGGCAACCCA
rnacentral:tRNA from 4 species